rnacentral:misc_RNA from 1 species
AACUAUCAAAACACUUUUCUUGGGUGUUUUGGACUUUGGGAGUUGCUGGUCUGUUUGAGCCAGCUCUCCUCAAAAGCAUUAGCUUUGGAGACCAUCAGUGUGAUAAUUUGUUUACACUGACUUGAGUGUCUCAGCUUCUCCUUUUGAUGCCC